UGAAUACGAGAUGCUACGGCGUCGAAGCAGUCUAUGUCAUACUUCCAAGAAAAGCUCGCACUGUCAUAAACAAAUAAUGCCUGUACCAUAACCGACACAGGUGGGUAGGUAGAGUAUACUAGGGGGCGCGAGAUAACUCUCUCUAAGGAACUCGGCAAAAUGACUCCGUAACUUCGGGAGAAGGAGUGCCUUAUUUAUAAGGUUGCAAUAACAAGAUCCAAGCAACUGUUUAUCAAAAACACAGGUCUCCGCUAAGUCGUAAGACGAUGUAUGGGGGCUGACGCCUGCCCAGUGCCAGAAGGUUAAAGAAGUUGGUUAGCAUUCGCGAAGCUGAUAACUGAAGCCCUGGUGAACGGCGGCCGUAACAAUAACGGUCCUAAGGUAGCGAAAUUCCUUGUCGGGUAAGUUCCGACCCGCACGAAAGGCGUAAUGAUUUGGAUACUGUCUCGGAGAGGGGCUCGGUGAAAUAGACUUGUCUGUGAAGAUGCGGACUACCUGCACCAGGACAGAAAGACCCUAUGAAGCUUUACUGUAACUUGAGAUUGAAAUUGGACUUUACUUGCGCAGUAUAGGUGGGAGGCGUUGAUAAUAUUCUUGCGGGAUUAUUUGAGCCAUCAGUGAGAUACCACUCUUGUAAUGUUAGGUUUCUAACUUUGUAUCAUUAUCUGGUCAAAGGACAGUUUCAGGCGGGCAGUUUGACUGGGGCGGUCGCCUCCUAAACGGUAACGGAGGCGCACAAAGGUUUCCUCUGAACGGGUAGAAAUCGUAUCUAGAGUGUAAAGGCAUAAGGAAGCUUGACUGUGAGACCUACAAGUCGAGCAGGGACGAAAGUCGGUCUUAGUGAUCUGACGGUGCUGAGUGGAAAGGCCGUCACUCAACGGAUAAAAGUUACUCUAAGGAUAACAGGCUGAUCUCCCCCAAGAGUUCACAUCGACGGGGAGGUUUGGCACCUCGAUGUCGGCUCAUCGCAUCCUGGGGCGGUAGUACGUCCCAAGGGUUGGGCUGUUCGCCCAUGAAAGCGGUACGCGAGCUGGGUUCAGAACGUCGUGAGACAGUUCGGUCCAUAUCCGGCGUAGGCGUUAGAAUAUUGAGAGGAGCCUUCUUUAGUACGAGAGGACCGAGAAGGACAUACCUCUGGUGUACCAGUUAUCGUGCCAACGGUAAACGCUGGGUAGCUAUGUAUGGAGUGGAUAACCGCUGAAAGCAUCUAAGUGGGAAGCCCACCUCAAGAUAAGUAUUCUC
rnacentral:rRNA from 1 species